AAAAGAAGAGAGAGAGAGAGAGAAAGAGAGAGAGAGAGAGAGAGAAAGAGAGAGAUAACACACACACAAAAUAACGCAUAACAAUUAUGGUGCUCGCUAAAUGAGAAAGCAAAUGAUAAUUGUUUAAUGGACAAGGCUUUCUUCAUUAAAAGCGAACCAACAACAACAACAA